rnacentral:rRNA from 1 species
AGUGAACGCUGGCGGUAGGCCUAACACAUGCAAGUCGAACGGCAGCACAGUAAGAGCUUGCUCUUACGGGUGGCGAGUGGCGGACGGGUGCGGAAUACAUCGGAAUCUACUUUUUCGUGGGGGAUAACGUAGGGAAACUUACGCUAAUACCGCAUACGACCUACGGUUGAAAGCAGGGGAUCUUCGGACCUUGCGCGAUUGAAUGAGCCGAUGUCGGUUUAGCUAGUUGGCGGGGUAGAGGCCCACCAAGGCGACGAUCCGUAGCUGGUCUGAGAGGAUGAUCAGCCACACUGGAACUGAGACACGGUGCAGACGCCUACGGGAGGCAGCAGUGGGGAAUAUUGGACAAUGGGCGCAAGCCUGAUCCAGCCAUACCGCGUGGGUGAAGAAGGCCUUCGGGUUGUAAAGCCCUUUUGUUGGGAAAGAAAAGCAGCAGGUUAAUACCCCGCUGUUCUGACGGUACCCAAAGAAUAAGCACCGGCUAACUUCGUG